UACGUAGGCAGCAAGCGUUGUUCGGAAUUACUGGGCGUAAAGCGUGCGUAGGCGGUGCCAUAAGUUCGGUGUGAAAUCUCCCGGCUUAACUGGGAGGGUGCGCCGAAAACUGUGGUGCUAGAGUACAGGAGAGGUAAGCGGAAUUCCUGGUGUAGCGGUGAAAUGCGUAGAUAUCAGGAGGAACACCUGCGGUGUAGACGGCUUACUGGACUGUGACUGACGCUGAGGCACGAAAGUGUGGGGAGCAAACAGG
rnacentral:rRNA from 1 species